AAAGCCAAUCCACGUGGUAGGGAGAUAGAUGUUCAAGUGCUCAAGGGCUUCGAUUCCUCUCAGCCCCUGUUCCUCCCUGGCUGCUGGGGUUGAGUGCACUCCCGGUUUAGGCUGAUUUCCCGUUUGUGCCGAACUUGGCUGCGAUCAGUUUGUCGGAAGACUAGUGAAAGCGGAGCCGUUGUAUCGGGUGAGCGUUGGACAGAUCUCUGGAUGGGGAUUUGGGUGCAGGUAGUGAAACGAGGAAUGAUUACUGACACUUGCAGUAAGGGUGAACCUUUCACCCUAGGCGGUGGGAGAAGUAGAAUACAUGGAUGUGAAUGAGGUAUAGUGGGCGAAGACAUCGGGGAUGAUCGGCAACCAGUUUCAGGUUUGAAGUUAGUCUCCCAGGUUUUCUAUUCAAUUGCAGAGCUUGACUUUUGCUUUGACCAAUGGUACAAAGGAAAAAGUUGUUGCUCUCCUUAAGAUUGGGUUAGAAUUUGAGUGAGAGAACCGAACAUAGAGGACUAAAAUUAUGAUCCCGAUGACAUCCAGUUCUUCUGCUGGCUUCCGUGAGCACGAAGGCGCAGGCGAGGGGGGUAACUGUUGGCCAUCUGUAGCGCCUGGCAUUCCACUCUUCACCUCUGGUGAUGAAGGCACAGGUACCAAGGUGCGGAAGCCCUAUACGAUAACUAAACAGCGAGAGAGGUGGACUGAGGAGGAACAUCAAAGGUUUUUGGAGGCAUUGAAGCUCUAUGGACGAGCUUGGCGCAGGAUUGAGGAACACAUUGGCACGAAGACCGCUGUGCAGAUCCGGUCUCACGCUCAGAAGUUCUUUUCCAGGAAUAGAAAGGGGAUGUCAGUGCAGGGCAAGGGGCCUUUUUCAGGGGUAGCACAGGUAAUAGAUAUCCCUCCACCUCGUCCAAAGAGAAGCCUUCUCACCCAUAUCCUCGCAAAGCUGGCAAAAUAUCUGAGGACGAGUGCCUUUUAGCACCUUCAGGUUAUAUUUCUUCUUCUUCAGGAGGUGGUCCCGCAGCAACUGUUGCGGAGGUCUGUUUGAAGAACAGUGUGUGGGAUCAGGUUGUUACUACAGGGGCUUUUCAUCAGGAUGCAGCCAAAUCGUAUAAUGACGCGGAUGCCACACAUCCCUGGGGUAUCCCAAAGACGGUUAAUUCCACCACCGCGGGUUCACCACCGGCUCGGCCUGCCAAUAUGGCUUCAAAUACAGGAUUGUUACUUAACAACAUUUCGCUAGGCCCAAUUCCUGCUUUUCCAGCCGUGCCUCCAUGGGGUCGGCUUUUUGGUGGAGCGAUGAACCCGGCCAUGAUGAAUCCGCAGGGUAUGGUUAUGCCCUGGGCCAGUGCGCCAAAUGCUCAAGGUCUUGAGAAUGGGGGCGCAGUCUCUGCUAUGGCGGCCACAAUCGCAGCUGCAUCUACCUGGUGGGCUAUGCAUGGAGGUAUGCCGCCUGGUGUGAUGCAUCCCGCUUUGGGUGUCAUGUAUGUAGGGGCUGCUCCUCCAGUUGCCAUCUCUACUCCAUACAUAUUCCCUCAGUGUUCACCUCAAGAGGUGACUUUGGCAGGAGUUCCAUGUGCUGAUGGCAAAGAAGAUCUCACAGUACAUGCUGUGAGUGAGGGCGAGAAUAUCCCAAUUAACGGUAACUCAAGGUCAAGUGCCAUGCGGAGAGCGGAGCGAGCCCAGCUGGUGAAGGAGCUGAAGGCUCGGCGAACGGGCUCAGGAAUUAACUUCCUUUCUGUCUCGUCUGAUAUUUGUGGAUCCACUUCAGGGGGGAGCGGAACGAAUCUCACCACACAGUUAACAGCUGGCGGGUUGACAUCAGAUAGUGCUGUCAAUUCUCUUUCCAAGGGGGGUUCUCUGGAUGCGAGUAAAGUGAAGCAUGGUCUACAUAGCUUUGUUCGGAAAGACAGGGAAGUGCCUGCGGACGGCGGUUCUGCAGAUGAUGGUGAUGAUAAACGGAAGCGAUUACGAGUAAGCAGACCCUCGGAUGACACGAUAAUGCACGAUAAUGAGGGAUAUCCAUCUACCACUAGUUUAGCUCGUGACGCUCCAGGGAGAUUGAAUGCUCACUUGGAGAAAGUUAGGUCCGUCAGCGGCUCCAGCACCCUUCCUGGGAAGUUCACCAAGGUUGGUGCUGAAAGGCUAGUUUAUGAUGAAGAGAACACUCCUACUGACGCCUCUUGUGGAAGUGAUGUUAGUGAAGGUGCAGGAGUUGCUCCGACUGAUGGUGAUGGUAAUGCAUCAGGGGGAGGUCCAAGCUCCAACUCAUCAGCGUGUGGGAAUGCUCUUGGAGGUAAUGAUAGGUCAGGAUCAAGUGAUGGAUCGUCAGAAGGGGAGGGCACCUGUAAGGUUAACAGGCAACGAGAUACAGGGAAGAAUGGAACGAGCUCUUCUGAUCCUGAAGCACAACUCAAGACAGAUGAGGAGGUUGGGAGAGCCACCGGACUUAUCACUUUUAAUGAGUUUCUUCCGGUUUGUAAAGAUGGAGAAAAAUUCGAAAAAUUAGAGAGUUCAUCGCGACUGCCAAGAACAGUGCCUAUCGAUGCAGAGCAGAGAAAGGAAGUCACUGAAAGAGGUCAGAUUGCCUUUCAGGCUCUAUUUAAGCUAGACACUCUACCUCGGACCUUUUCCCCGCCUCCAGGCCUAGUUCUUGGUACAGGAUCGAAGGAGCCUACUAAAAAGGUGGCAUCUGUGCAUAACACGAAUAAAAGCAUGAGCGGUAGCGCGAUUGUAUACGAUACCUCGGAAUCAUGGACUCCACGGCGAAAUCGUAAAGACCAAGAUAGUGCUUUUAAUACAUGGGAGCAUUUAAGAGGUACUUCCAGCGCCUCAAAAGUUGACCGAUGUGACAGUGGCAUAUCCAUUCCAUCUUCCAGACCGACAAAAAGCUUAGAGGAUCUUCAAUCUUCUGAGCGCCGUCGAGGCAAUCGGAAGGUGCGGUCCCGUUCAAUAGCCAACAAUUGGCUCCAAUUGUGGACGGACACAUCGUCUCGUGACAGGGACGAGGAUGCGGACGAAGAGGACGAGGACGACGAGAGUGCCCACUCGGGAGCAGAUGAAGGUUGCAAAAAGCAACAACAUGAAGAGAGCUUCGUUUGUAAGCUUGAUGUGUCUAUUUCAAAUCAGGAUACUGAUCUAAUCUCUAAUAUUAAUGAUCAGGACACAAGCAGCUUCGGUCUAAGUUCAACAGUUACAAGUCGAACAUUAUCCUUGUCCAUAGGUGCUGGUGGUUUGAAGAACGCUGAUUCGAGUGUGUCCGCAAGAACUGAGAAAUAUAGUGGAGUAGGAUUUGUUCCAUAUCAAAGAGUUUCUAUCCAUGUGGAGGCUACUGUAGCGAAGCUUUGAUGAUUGAUGGAUAGUUUUUCCAUCUUCAUUUAGUUUAACACCUUAUUUCUUUUCGUGACUUAUAAAAGUCACAUUUCACAACAUUCUA